rnacentral:lncRNA from 1 species
AGAAGAAGAAGAAGAGGGAAAAAAAAAAGGUGCUCCAGCAGGAGGAAGAAGAAGAAGAAAAAGAAAAAGAGAAGAAAAAAUUGCUCCGCCUGGCCUUCGCUUUUUUUUUCCGGCGGAAAAAAAAAGAACGAGAGAACGAAGAGGAGAGAGAAAGAGGAAAGAGAAAAAGUAAUAAGAGUAUUUUGGUCAGUUUGCUGAAAGAGCGGACUGAAUCUGUAAAAACGAAAAAGAUGGCCCGAUUUUGCAA